GAUGAACGCUGGCGGCAUGCCUUACACAUGCAAGUCGAACGGCGGCGGGGGAGAAGCUUGCUUUUCCUGCCGGCGAGUGGCGAACGGGUGAGUAAUACAUCGGAACGUGCCCUGUAGUGGGGGAUAACUAGUCGAAAGAUUAGCUAAUACCGCAUACGACCUGAGGGUGAAAGUGGGGGACCGCAAGGCCUCAUGCUAUAGGAGCGGCCGAUGUCUGAUUAGCUAGUUGGUGGGGUAAAGGCCUACCAAGGCGACGAUCAGUAGCUGGUCUGAGAGGACGAUCAGCCACACUGGGACUGAGACACGGCCCAGACUCCUACGGGAGGCAGCAGUGGGGAAUUUUGGACAAUGGGCGAAAGCCUGAUCCAGCAAUGCCGCGUGUGUGAAGAAGGCCUUCGGGUUGUAAAGCACUUUUGUCCGGAAAGAAAUGGCUCUGGUUAAUACCUGGGGUCGAUGACGGUACCGGAAGAAUAAGGACCGGCUAACUACGUGCCAGCCGCCGCAGUAA
rnacentral:rRNA from 1 species